rnacentral:rRNA from 1 species
UACGUAGGGUGCGAGCGUUGUCCGGAAUUAUUGGGCGUAAAGAGCACGUAGGCGGUGUGUCACGUCGGCCGUGAAAACCUGCAGCUUAACUGUGGGCGUGCGGUCGAUACGGGCAUCACUGGAGUUCGGCAGGGGAGACUGGAAUUCCUGGUGUAGCGGUGAAAUGCGCAGAUAUCAGGAGGAACACCGGUGGCGAAGGCGGGUCUCUGGGCCGAUACUGACGCUGAGGAGCGAAAGCGUGGGGAGCAAACAGG